UAUUGUUUUGACAUUUUGAACCAUUUCUCAAAUGAAGAACAUAUCACUUUCUCUCUCCUAUUUUUUCUUUUUUGAAAGCAUUUCUUAAAAUGAAGAACAGAUCCAUGUUUUACCUUCUUUCCUUCUUAUUACAUGUUUUACCUUCUCUCCUUCUUAUUACAUUUCUUAAAUGAAGAACAAAUCCAUAUUUUACUUUUUUUGAAGCAUUUCUCAAAUGAAGAACAUAUUUUACCUCCCAAAAAUCCAGAGAGAUAGAUGGUAAGAGAGAGAAGAUCAGAUAGAGAGAGGCAAUGAGGAUCGGUGAGAGAGGCAGUGAAGAUAGGAGAAAGAUCAGAAGAUCGAACGAGUGUUCCAUACAACAUCAGAUUCAGAUCUGGUUCAAGUGGUGGAGGUGACGGUGGUUCCUCCUGCCGGAAAACCACUUAGUAGCUACUUGGCGGUGGUGGUCCAUGGUUAGUUACUUGAAUUCUCGUUUCCAUUUUCAGGUCUCGAUUUAUUUUUGGAGAUGAUGUUUUUUUAUCCUAGUUUUUUCCUUUCUUAAAUUGGCCUUAGAUCUAGUGUUUUUAACAGAAAUAAAGAAAGUUGGUCAAAAAUGUGUUCACCGGAAAAGUUUUCCGAUUGCUGUGAGACAUGGAACAAUAUUUUGGAGAAGAUGAUCUUUUUAGUUAAAUAGGGGCAUUUCUGUAAUUUAACAGGUCCAUUAAAAAGUGUUGUUCCAAAUAAUUGGUGAGACGUGCACCUUUUUAUCUUCAAAAACUAGUUGCACCAUCUUCAAUUUUUAUUUUUGUUUUUCUUUAUAACACUGAAACAUAUUUAUUAAUUGUGUUACAUUGUUUUUUAUUUUCAUCUGAACCGAUACGGGUUCAUAUGAAAUACUUAAUAUGCAAUUCUGGAUGAAUCCGUAUCUGUCUUUGGUUUUUUUAUCAGUUAAUAUGAAAUACUUAAUAAUAAUAAAAUAAUUUUUUUGUUUUACCACACUUAUUAUUUUACACUUAUUUAAAUUUUUAUUAGGCUAGCUUAGAAAUAUGCGUUUAUAUAUAUAAGGAUUAGAUAAAAUGAAUAUGAGUUGUGAGAACGAAAGGAACUAUGGAUUGUCCAAAUUAUAUGAAUUUUAGUUUUAUUAUCUUUUUUGAAUUUGACCCGACCCGACCCGAUCCGAUUCGCUACGAACCGAAAAAAUAUUAUAUAUCCUUAGGGGUCUAAAACUCUUAAUAAUUUUCCGCAGCCUAGAAAAAUUUCUUGGGUCCGCCACUGUUGAUUUUUGUAGAGUGACGUGAAGCAUGGUGAGGUUCAUAUGACGGUUCGAUGUUUCAGAUUACAGGGUCGAUGUUGAACAACUGGUUAAGAUCUGAAGCAUUUUUGUAAUUGCAUGUUGCAUUUUUUGCUCAUGUAAAAAGUGGGUCUUAUUGUUCCAGAUCUAAAAGAUGAUCUGAAAUCCAAAAAGAGGAUCCAGUUCCAAGAUGCUACCAGAUCCAAAAGAUGCUCCAGAUCCGGUUGAAGAUGUUCGAUGUUGAAGAUGAUAUUCCAUAUAACGGUUCGAUGUUGUUUUUUAUUACUGAUUUCUUUAUUUUUUUUUUGUGUAAAAUUCGUUUUCAGAUAUGAACAAAUGGAAACAAUAUGAUUUAAGUUCUUAUGUAUUGGAUUAAAAUCUAAGUUACUUUCUUGUUUAUUGUUAUGAUGAUUGAACCCUGAUUUUAAUAAGUAAAUGUAUGUUCUAAUCGUGUUUUAUCCCCAUUAUUUUAAUGUAGCCUAGCAACUGCCCUUUCAUUGGUUGGGUCGACCCACCGAUGUGCUUACGGUCAACUAGGAUCAUACCAGGUCUUUUGAGGAACAUCAACAACCUGCAAGCUGAAUUGUUACCCGUGAGCAAGAAAUUCGGAAGAAGAAGAGGGUUAUAUGGUUACUAAUAUUAGCGUUAGUGAUUGGCAGCUUACUUGUUAGCAUUGUUUGUUGUGAUUAAGAAAUAGGUGGUACUUAGUUGGAUUAUCCUUCUUAGUAUGUUAAUGACAUUUGUAAUUUAUGUAGACUUUUGCUGUGUUGAAUCUGAGAAUUUUAUAUGUUAUUGA
rnacentral:lncRNA from 1 species